GACGGAGGGUGCUAGCGUUGUUCGGAAUCACUGGGCGUAAAGGGCGCGUAGGCGGCCCUGCCAGUCGGCUUGUGAAAGCCCGGGGCUCAACCCCGGAGGUGCGGCCGGGACUGCAGGGCUGGAGGCCGGAAGAGGAGGGUGGAAUACCCAGUGUAGAGGUGAAAUUCGUAGAUAUUGGGUGGAACACCGGUGGCGAAAGCGGCUCUCUGGUCCGGUUCUGACGCUGAGGCGCGAAAGCGUGGGGAGCAAACAGG
rnacentral:rRNA from 1 species